rnacentral:lncRNA from 1 species
UCUUCUUCCAUUUAGCUGUUAAUGGCUACAUGUACGGCAACCAGCCAGGCCUAAACGUGUAAAAAGGAUAGAGUUUCCUGGCAUCUGAUUGGAUUGGGCACUGACACCGAUAUGCAUGGAAUUGUUUUUCAAGGGAACACCAUCCACCUAUGAGGGACUCACCGAGACUCCCUGGCCCUGUUUCUCCACGUGGCCACAACAGCAUUCAUGCAGCCGGACCACGCAGGUAUUUUUAAGGUGUUUUGUGCCACCAUGCACCACCUCCCGAGAGGCAUGGGUCAGAUCUAUGAGGUCAACAGCUGUGACAACAGGGACCCUUCGGAGCAGCCACACGGGAUGAUAAGAAGUUUUUACAUCGCCGCUGAAGAGGCCCAAUGAUUCAUGCCGAGGUGGGCGACACCAUCCUGAUCAUAUUUAAGAACAAAGCCAGUAGGCCCUACUCCAUCUCAGCCCAGGGUGUGGAGGAGAUGGAUAGUGGAAAGCAAUUCCAAGUGCCCAUGACAAAACUAGGUAAGUUGCGUCAGAGAUCUGCUCCAUCUUGAAGAAGAACACUGGAGUCAACUCUUUUUUGACCUCAGAGGGGUCUUAAAGAGCUCAUCUUAAUGUCAAUGUGUUUCAGCCAUCAUCUAGUCACUCUGGUAUGAGAUCAUCAUUCAUCCAAGGACCAAAUGUUCAGGAAUUUCUAGGGCUCCAUUAGGAACCUCCAUUAGGGACCCCAUUGUCAACAUCCCCCACCAGAGUGGUACAAUUGUUGUAACUGAUGAACCUACAUUGACACGUCCCCUAAAGCCCAUAAUUUACAUUAGGGUUCAGUCUUGGUGUAUAUACUCUAAGGGUUUUGACAAACGCACAACAUGUAUCUACCAUUGUAGUCCUAUAAAGAAUAGUUUCACUGCCCUAAACAUUCUCUGUUCUCUGGUGUUUGUUUUUUCCUCUUCCUUAACCCCUGACAACCACUGAUCUUUUUACUGUCUCCAUAGUUGUUC